AACGCACCUUGCACCCUCUGGUAUUCCGGAGGGUAUGCCCGGUUGAGUGUCAUGAAUAUCUCAACUCCAAUGCUUUGUUAAGGUUCCUUGACCCUGCUCGGCCUAUCGAGACCAUGGCAGUUGUCUUUGGGAUUGAAGUGUUGGAGCUUGGUGUUGAGCUCUGUUGGCCUUGACGGUUGACUGGCUAGAAAUGCAUCAGUGAUGCGUGAUCCCUUGGGUCCAUCUCGGCGUGAUAAGUUGAUCGCUGCAAAGGACUUCCUUGGGGUGUGGCUCACUCCUAACCGUCUUCGGACAGCCUCUGACGUUUACACCUCAACUCGGGUAGGACCACCCGCUGAACUUAA
rnacentral:misc_RNA from 1 species